GAAGGAAUAAGGGAUAUACAGGAGAGGAUACACCAUGAAGGGAGCAACACAGACAGAGUGGGUGAGCUGAAAAGAAGGGAAGGACUAAGCAGAUGUGUUUUUAUAUAUUUUUGAACACUUUGGCUUUGAAGAAGCUUUGAGGACACUGCAGUCCUGUCUUUUUUUGGAGUCUUUCCUAUCCUCUUCAGUCUGCAGCCAGCCAGAAAUUGUUAAGAUGAAGAUAGAUGCUAUUCACCCGUUAAUGAAAUCCACCUGAGGCAAGGCAUGACUCAUUCAGUGUUUACCCUGGGUGAUGACACAAUGUCCUCUACAUCUAUCAUCGAUAAUAGCUGAACAAGCAGGAAGAGGAGAGCUGGACACUUUCAUCUGCGCUCUCUAACAAAAAGAGGGGCUGCGUCCUUCUGAAUCUCACAACACACACACAUACACCUGAACCACUCUUAUCUUCACUCCCUACGCACUAACAUUCCUCUGCCU
ensembl:lncRNA